rnacentral:rRNA from 1 species
AAUGAACGUUGGCGGCGUGGAUUAGGCAUGCAAGUCGAGCGAGAACCCGCAAGGGGGACAGCGGCAAACGGGGUAGUAACGGGUAGGUGACGUACCCUUCGGUCGGGGAUAGCCACGGGAAACUGUGGGUAAUACCCGAUAACCUCUUCGAGCGUGAUGGCUUGGAGAGCAAAGGUGUGAUUCCACCGGAGGAGCGGCCUGCUUCGUAUUAGCUAGUUGGUGAGGUAACGGCUCACCAAGGCGACGAUGCGUAGGGGGUGUGAGAGCAUGACCCCCCACCACUGGGACUGAGAUACUGCCCAGACACCUACGGGUGGCUGCAGUCGAGAAUCUUCGGCAAUGGGCGCAAGCCUGACCGAGCGACGCCGCGUGUGGGAUGAAGGCCCUUGGGUUGUAAACCACUGUCAGAGGGGAUGGAAGUGCCAGAGAGCCAUCUCUUUUGG